rnacentral:rRNA from 1 species
AGAGUUUGAUCAUGGCUCAGAUUGAACGCUGGCGGCAUGCCUAACACAUGCAAGUCGAACGGCAGCAUGUUAGAGUGCUUGCACUCUAAUGAUGGCGAGUGGCGGACGGGUGAGUAACGCGUAGGAAUCUACCCUUAAGUUGGGGACAACCCGGGGAAACUCGGGCUAAUACCGAAUAGAAACUCUUAGGAGGAAAGCUGGGGACCCGCAAGGGCCUGGCGCUUGAGGAGGAGCCUGCGUCUGAUUAGCUAGUUGGUAGGGUAAAGGCCUACCAAGGCGACGAUCGGUAGCUGGUCUGAGAGGAUGACCAGCCACACUGGGACUGAGAGACGGCCCAGACUCCUACGGGAGGCAGCAGUGGGGAAUAUUGGACAAUGGGGGCAACCCUGAUCCAGCAAUGCCGCGUGUGUGAAGAAGGCCUGAGGGUUGUAAAGCACUUUUAGUGGUGAGGAGAGAUGUGAGUUUAAGAGACACACAUUGAGACGUAGCCACAGAAAAGA